ACAUCACAUCAAACUCUUACAAGUCUAGAAGAGCAGCUGUUGGACAGAAAGACAUCAGCUGAGUGGGAAGGAUUUUGACCUGAGAUGUGACUGCUCUGUGCUGUUGCUGAUGACUCCAGUUAAUCCUACAAGACAUGCUGUAUCAUCAGAAUGAAAGUUAUUGGCCAUGUUUGCAGAGCCCUU